UUUUUUUUUUUUUUUUUUUUUCCCCCCUCCCCAGGCUGCCGGUUGAUCCGUCUUGUGUCUGCAAUAACCCGAACGUAGUCUAGUAAGGUUUGCUCAAGUGAGAUGGAAAAUGAAGAGGUCGGCUCCAAAACAAGCUUGUGACUGCUUUGCUUUGACAGAGGGAGAUGCAAAUAAAAGAGGAUUGGUGACUUCUCCACCAGCUGCUAUUGGCCGUCCGGACCUCUUUGGGUUGCAGUGUUAGAUGUGCUCUUGUAUGGGAACUGUUGAAUCACGGCCUGAACCUCUGAUUGACCACCCGAGGCGAGCGCUGAGUCAGCUGCAGGGGCACAGGUGAACACAGUU